rnacentral:rRNA from 1 species
UACGUAGGUGACAAGCGUUGUCCGGAUUUACUGGGCGUAAAGAGCGCGCAGGCGGUCGAUCAAGUCGAGUGUGAAAGCCCCCGGCUCAACUGGGGAGGGGCAUUCGAUACUGAUCGGCUCGAAGGCAGGAGAGGGUAGUGGAAUUCCCGGUGUAGUGGUGAAAUGCGUAGAUAUCGGGAGGAACACCAGUGGCGAAGGCGACUACCUGGCCUGUUCUUGACGCUGAGGCGCGAAAGCUAGGGGAGCAAACGGG